GAUGAACGCUGGCGGCGUGCUUAACACAUGCAAGUCGAACGAGAAGUGAAGACGGAAACCUUCGGGCGGAAGGCUUUAUUUCGAGUGGCGGACGGGUGAGUAACGCGUGGGUAACCUGCCUCAUACAGGGGGAUAACAGUUGGAAACGACUGUUAAUACCGCAUAAGACCACAGCACCGCAUGGUGCGGGGGUAAAAACUCCGGUGGUAUGAGAUGGACCCGCGUUCGAUUAGCCAGUUGGCGGGGUAACGGCCCACCAAAGCGACGAUCGAUAGCCGAGCUGAGAGGAUGACCGGCCACAUUGGGACUGAGACACGGCCCAAACUCCUACGGGAGGCAGCAGUGGGGAAUAUUGCACAAUGGGGGAAACCCUGAUGCAGCGACGCCGCGUGAGUGAAGAAGUAUGUCGGUAUGUAAAGCUCUAUCAGCAGGGAAGAAAAUGACGGUACCUGAGGAAGAAGCCCCGGCUAACUACGUG
rnacentral:rRNA from 1 species